rnacentral:rRNA from 1 species
UGGCACUGCCCGGUAGCUAAAUGCGGAAGAGAUAAGUGCUGAAAGCAUCUAAGCACGAAACUUGCCCCGAGAUGAGUUCUCCCUGAGACUUAGAGUCUCCUGAAGGAACGUUGAAGACGACGACGUUGAUAGGCCGGGUGUGUAAGCGCAGCGAUGCGUUGAGCUAACCGGUACUAAUGAACCGUGAGGCUUAACCUU